UGUCAGGGAACGUCUGAACUUUGAGAGCUUGCUUUUCAAACUGUGGGUGUUCAGUGUUUCUGGAAAUCAGACCCAAGUGUCCAGUUGUCCAGGAAAACAGAAUACACAUUUCCUCAUCUCCUUCAUUGAAAGCUGGAACUGGAAUUAUGAGUCACUGAAAUGCUAAAAGAAAGGCCGUUCUAGCAGUUUUCCUGUCCAUCUGAUGGCAGCAAGCACAGAGAAACUCACAAGAAAGCAAAGUCUUGUGAUAUUUACAGAUUGAAGCAGCUCUGGCACCCAACAAUGGACAAAACCCCGAGAUCUUUAUUGAAUUUUUACUCAGACAUUAUUUAGACAAAGCUCCUAUUGACUUCAACUGAAUAAGGGGUUUAGGAUUUGACUCAUGUGAAUAUUAUGGAAUGUUCCUGAAAAACCUCUUAUACUGAAUUCAGUUUUCUGAUGCAUUGUGCAAGAAGUAUUUUCCAGAAGCAGAAGAAGGAGCUAUGGAAUUAAAUCCAAAUGGCAUAUAAAAGGCACAGCCCCAGCC